UACGGAGGGUGCAAGCGUUAUCCGGAUUCACUGGGUUUAAAGGGUGUGUAGGCGGGUAUUUAAGUCAGUGGUGAAAUCUCCGAGCUCAACUCGGAAACUGCCAUUGAUACUAUUUAUCUUGAAUAUUGUUGAGGUAGGCGGAAUAUGUCAUGUAGCGGUGAAAUGCUUAGAUAUGACAUAGAACACCGAUUGCGAAGGCAGCUUGCUAAACAAUUAUUGACGCUGAGGCACGAAAGCGUGGGGAUCAAACAGGAUUAGAAACCCC
rnacentral:rRNA from 1 species